UGUUCGACCAGCUGUCGUUCGUGGAACCGGGGCACCAAAACCUAAGGGAAAUAAAAGCAAAUUAUAAACUGGCAAAAGUAAAAAAAUAUAUGUGCCUAUACGUAACUAUGUUGCUUAAGCAUCUAAAAACAGUAUAGAAUAAAUAAAAAAACAACAUUUUAAUUACCAAGAGUGGUGAGAAGUGAAAGCGCAAAUAAGAUACAACCCGGAAACGUCCAAAGUUGUCCACUAUUUCCACUUUCGCCAUAUCCAGAACUAACUGC